UUAACUCAAAUUUGUAUGGAGUUGGAACGUGUUCAUACGUUUGUCGCUAGGGGCGCUGUUCUAACUACAUACAAAUUAGAGUUA
rfam:Bombyx mori DNA, contig: Bm_scaf100_contig35958, strain: p50T/Dazao, build 2, whole genome shotgun sequence.